AUUGAACGCUGGCGGCAUGCCUUACACAUGCAAGUCGAACGGCAGCACGGGAGCAAUCCUGGUGGCGAGUGGCGAACGGGUGAGUAAUAUAUCGGAACGUGCCCAGUAGUGGGGGAUAACUGCUCGAAAGAGCAGCUACUACCGCAUACGACCUGAGGGUGAAAGGGGGGGAUCGCAAGACCUCUCGCUAUUGGAGCGGCCGAAAUCAGAUUAGCUAGUUGGUGGGGUAAAGGCCUACCAAGGCAACGAUCUGUAGUUGGUCUGAGAGGACGACCAGCCACACUGGGACUGAGACACGGCCCAGACUCCUACGGGAGGCAGCAGUGGGGAAUUUUGGACAAUGGGCGCAAGCCUGAUCCAGCAAUGCCGCGUGCAGGAAGAAGGCCUUCGGGUUGUAAACUGCUUUUGUCAGGGAAGAAAUCCUCUAGGUUAAUACCCUUGGGGGGAUGACGGUACCUGAAGAAUAAGCACCGGCUAACUACGUGCCAGCCGCCGCGGUAAGAC
rnacentral:rRNA from 1 species